UACAACUUAUUGUGAAACGAUUGAUUUAAAAUAUAUGUCAACUAAUUACAACUGUAUGAGCCGGAAAUGAGGAAAACAUAUAUAAAUUUGACAUCAAGCUCAGGAUUACUCUGAUCCACACCAUGAUUUGUACACUCUGUAUCAUAACCUGUUUAUCUACAUUAUUACAGUGUGCAUCAGCAUCAGAACGGAUAGGUUUCUGUGCCGGACCAGCCAGAUGUUGUAGAGGGUUCAAAUGGGACGCCCAGACAGAGAGCUGCGUCGGUUGCCAGUAUCCCCAUUAUGGACUGCUUUGUCAGUAUGUGUGUAAUUGUGCUGAGGCCAACUGCAAGAGGUUUGACGGUUGUAGAAGAAUACCUAUAA